GCUGGUCCGAUUGCAUUCAUUUUCGUUGGUCUGAGAUUUUCGAGGAUGAGCCCCGAGAUCCAUGGCUGAUAUGGCGCGACCCCACAACAGUCCAAUAUCUAAGAAAGUUAAGAUUUUUUAAGUAGCUAGCCCAUCACAACAAAAUUCUUAGGGCACAUAGUCCAAGGAAAAGGAGAAUACCUAGCCUGCAAUUUUUCCCUCUCUACGGUGAAGAAGUUGAAUCAAUGAAUCACCUACUUCUUGGGUGCAACUUGUCCUAAGCAAUAUGGCA
rnacentral:lncRNA from 1 species